CGGCCCGACUGGCAGCACUGGUAUAGACCUCUUUGAUUUGCACUUUCAUUUAUUUUAUGGUUGACUAUUCCAUGAUUUCCCGCGAAAAAAAGUUUCGACCAAAUAAUCUUGACAUUAUAUAUGUAGUAGCAAAGAAUUGCUGAAGGCAAACAUGUUUGCACACGUAAAAUUUGAUGACGGCGCCAAAACUGUUGUGAGUACAUCGGAGAUAAAGAAUUUCGAUUCUGAAACAUCUAAUAGGGCGAAGAAGUACAAAGUUCGCUGAAGAAAGAUAAUGAAUUUUACGAUGCGAGUGUCAUCGAUGUAGAUGAAAAUAAGGAAGCACUUGAAGCAAAAAUCAGCAAUAAAAGGCCACAUAUUCCAUUCUUUGAAAAAUGUUUAUCGGCGUCGGAAAGCAAAUUAGAUUCCAAUUUUUUAGAAUACCAAUAUCAGUGAG